UACCCAACUCUCUGUGACCUGCCUGUUUU
rnacentral:piRNA from 1 species